rnacentral:lncRNA from 1 species
GCACAUCGCUGAGUGAACCAGUUAUCAGACCCAGCCAUGUAUAGCCAAAGAUAGUGCUUCCAGCCACAGAAUUGCUCUCCAGGAAGACUGACCUGCUAUUAGGCACAGGAUUUGUGUGAAAUGCACCGUUUGGGUCCCCAGCCAUACUCCAUGCCAAGAACACUAUUAUCUAUGGAGACUCAUUGACACAGAAGAUGGCGAGCUUGCUGGGAGGUCAGGAGGCAAAACAGGCCAAACAGAAUAAUUUUUGGAAAACUUCCUUUUCCAAAAAAUCUAUUAUAAAAAUCUAAAGUUGACCUCAGAUGUAUUUUACUUGUCAAUUGACCUGGAGAAUCAGGUUCUCAUGUUUGUGACACCCACGUCACAAACUAAUUAUUUUAAUUCUGACCUUGAGUCUUGUUCUGUUUUUCAAGGAUUGGUAGGAAUUAUUGAUUAUGAGACCAUGAACAAAUAGUUGAAAUUAAAACAGUCACUUCCUAC